rnacentral:rRNA from 1 species
GACAGAGGGUGCAAACGUUGUUCGGAAUUACUGGGCGUAAAGCGCGUGUAGGCGGCUUUGCAAGUCGGGUGUGAAAUCCCCAGGCUUAACCUGGGAACUGCAUUCGAGACUGCAUUGCUAGAGUAUGGGAGAGGGAAGUGGAAUUUCCGGUGUAGCGGUGAAAUGCGUAGAUAUCGGGAGGAACACCAGUGGCGAAGGCGGUUACCUGGAGCUUUGCUGACGCUGAUGCGCGAAAGCGUGGGGAGCGAUCCGG